AGAGUUUGAUCAUGGCUCAGAACAAACGCUGGUGGCAUGCUUAACACAUGCAAGUCGAACGAGAAAAUUCUGCUUUGCGGGAUGAGUAAAGUGGCAGACGGGUGAGUAACACGUAAGAACCUACCCUUAGGAUCAGGAUAACAUUUCGAAAGGAAUGCUAAUACUGGAUAAUGUUCACGAACCAAAAGAGGCUUUUGCUUCUGCCUAAGGAGGGGCUUGCGGCCCAUUAGCUUGUUGGUGAGGUAAUAGCUCACCAAGGCCACGAUGGGUAGCCGGCCUGAGAGGGUGUCCGGUCACACUGGAACUGAGACACGGUCCAGACUCCUACGGGAGGCAGCAGUGGGGAAUAUUGGUCGAUGGGCGAAAGCCUGAACCAGCAAUGCCAUGUGGGCGAUGAAGCUUUUCGGAGCGUAAAGCCCUUUUAUGAGGGAAGAAAUGUAUUGAAUUUAAUACAUUCAUUACUUGACGGUACCUCAUGAAUAAGCCCCGGCUAACUCCGUGCCAGCAGCCGCGGUAACACGGAGGGGGCAAGCGUUGUUCGGAAUUACUGGGCGUAAAGGGCGCGUAGGCGGCCUUAUGAGUCAGAUGUGAAAGCCCCAAGCUUAACUUGGGAACUGCAUUUGAUACCAUAAGGCUUGAGGCCGGGAGAGGGAAGUGGAAUUCCUGGUGUAGCGGUGAAAUGCGUAGAUAUCAGGAGGAACACCGGUGGCGAAGGCGGCUUCCUGGACCGGUUCUGACGCUGAGGCGCGAAAGCGUGGGGAGCGAACGGGAUUAGAUACCCCGGUAGUCCACGCUGUAAACGAUGAGCACUAGGUGUAGUGGGUAUCGACCCCUGCUGUGCCGCAGCUAACGCAUUAAGUGCUCCGCCUGGGGAGUACGAUCGCAAGAUUGAAACUCAAAGGAAUUGACGGGGGCCCGCACAAGCGGUGGAGUAUGUGGUUUAAUUCGAUGCAACGCGAAAAACCUUACCGGGGCUUGACAUGUAUCUGACAGGUGCCGAAAGGCUCCUUCCCUUCGGGGCAGAUACACAGGUGCUGCAUGGCUGUCGUCAGCUCGUGUCGUGAGAUGUUGGGUUAAGUCCCGCAACGAGCGCAACCCCUACCCUUAGUUGCCAUCAGUUCGGCUGGGAACUCUAAGGGAACUGCCGGUGACAAGCCGGAGGAAGGUGGGGAUGACGUCAAGUCCUCAUGGCCCUUACGUCCCGGGCUACACACGUACUACAAUGGUCGGUACAGAGGGUUGCAAAACCGUGAGGUCGAGCUAAUCUCAAAAAACCGAUCUCAAUUCGGAUUGAAGUCUGCAACCCGACUUCAUGAAGCUGGAAUCGCUAGUAAUCGCGGAUCAGCAUGCCGCGGUGAAUACGUUCCCGGGCCUUGUACACACCGCCCGUCACACCACGAAAGUUGGUUGCACCAGAAGUCGUUGAGCUAACCUUACCUCGGUAGGGAGGCAUGCGCCCAAGGUGUGAUUAAUGAUUGGGGUGAAGUCGUAACAAGGUA
rnacentral:rRNA from 1 species